rnacentral:rRNA from 1 species
GUGGGGAAUUUUGGACAAUGGGCGCAAGCCUGAUCCAGCAAUGCCGCGUGUGUGAAGAAGGCCUUCGGGUUGUAAAGCACUUUUGUCCGGAAAGAAAUCUCCUGAGCCAAUACCUCGGGGGGAUGACGGUACCGGAAGAAUAAGCACCGGCUAACUACGUGCCAGCAGCCGCGGUAAUACGUAGGGUGCAAGCGUUAAUCGGAAUUACUGGGCGUAAAGCGUGCGCAGGCGGCUAUGCAAGACAGGUGUGAAAGCCCCGGGCUUAACCUGGGAACUGCGUUUGUGACUGGUGGGCUUGAGUGCGGCAGAGGGGGGUGGAAUUCCACGUGUAGCAGUGAAAUGCGUAGAUAUGUGGAGGAAUACCGAUGGCGAAGGCAGCCCCCUGGGAUAACACUGACGCUCAUGCACGAAAGCGUGGGGAGCAAACAGGAUUAGAAACCCUAGUAGUCC